UACGUAGGGUGCAAGCGUUAAUCGGAAUUACUGGGCGUAAAGCGUGCGCAGGCGGCUGCGUAAGACAGAUGUGAAAUCCCCGGGCUUAACCUGGGAACUGCAUUUGUGACUGCAUCGCUGGAGUGCGGCAGAGGGGGAUGGAAUUCCGCGUGUAGCAGUGAAAUGCGUAGAUAUGCGGAGGAACACCGAUGGCGAAGGCAAUCCCCUGGGCCUGCACUGACGCUCAUGCACGAAAGCGUGGGGAGCAAACAGG
rnacentral:rRNA from 1 species